AACGAACGCUGGCGGCAGGCCUAACACAUGCAAGUCGAGCGCACCUUCGGGUGAGCGGCGGACGGGUUAGUAACGCGUGGGAACGUGCCCUUCUCUACGGAAUAGCCCAGGGAAACUUGGAUUAAUACCGUAUACGCCCUUAGGGGGAAAGAUUUAUCGGAGAAGGAUCGGCCCGCGUUGGAUUAGGUAGUUGGUGGGGUAAUGGCCUACCAAGCCGACGAUCCAUAGCUGGUUUGAGAGGAUGAUCAGCAACACUGGGACUGAGACACGGCCCAGACUCCUACGGGAGGCAGCAGUGGGGAAUCUUAGACAAUGGGGGCAACCCUGAUCUAGCCAUGCCGCGUGGACGAUGAAGGCCUUAGGGUUGUAAAGUCCUUUCGCUGGGGAAGAUAAUGACGGUACCCAGUAAAGAAGCCCCGGCUAACUCCGUGCCAGCCGCCGACGUAACAC
rnacentral:rRNA from 1 species